UAGGGAAUCUUCGUCAAUGGACGAAAGUCUGAUCGAGCAACGCCGCGUGAGUGAAGAAGGUUUUCGGCUCGUAAAACUCUGUUGUUAUAGAAGAACAAGGACGUUAGUAACUGAACGUCCCCUGACGGUAUCUAACCAGAAAGCCACGGCUAACUACGUGCCAGCAGCCGCGGUAAUACGUAGGUGGCAAGCGUUGUCCGGAUUUAUUGGGCGUAAAGCGAGCGCAGGCGGUUUCUUAAGUCUGAUGUGAAAGCCCCCGGCUCAACCGGGGAGGGUCAUUGGAGACUGGGAGGCUUGAGUGCAGAAGAGGAGGGUGGAAUUCCAUGUGUAGCGGUGAAAUGCGUAGAUAUAUGGAGGAACACCAGUGGCGAAGGCGGCUCUCUGGUCUGUAACUGACGCUGAGGCUCGAAAGCGUGGGGAGCAAACAGG
rnacentral:rRNA from 1 species